rnacentral:lncRNA from 1 species
CGUCCGCCUCCGCGGCGCGGCCUGGAGGCUUCCACCCUUCCCCUACUUCGGCCCAGCUGAGAGAGAGAAGGGGGAGGGUGCGCCGGGCAUCGAGAAGCCACGUGGCACCCCGACUCUAGAAAGACAGCAAAGUUCCCAAACUCAUCUGAAGGCCCUUAACCUACUGUUGUCCCUCUCCUCUAAAAGGAACCGAUUCUUGAAUUUCACUGCAUCCAGGAGCCAAGUUAAGGACUGCAAACACCGUCUCAUUUUCAGUCCGGUGAGGCAGGAGCUACCAUCCUGGAUGUGACACACAGGGCUGCCAAAUCUUAUUCUUGUUAAAACCUCUUAUCGACUCUCUGGCCCCUCAGAAGAAAGGGCACACUGGUUGGCGUGGCAUCCAAGGCCUCUGUCUUCUGGUCCCUACCUUCUCACUGACUUCAUCCCACAGAGUUUCCCCUGCCUCUUCAGCCUCCACAUUUCCACCCUUUGCUCUGUUUUCGGUUCCUCAAAUGUUCUGUGACCUCCAGAGCCUCUAUUCCUUACACAUAUGGUUUCUUCUGUUUUGUUCCCCUUUCUUGCCCAAUCCUCUGGCGCUCUGUGAGGAGACGCUUCAUGUUCCUGUGAAGAUGUCACCUCCCUCAGCUGACUGUGGUGCCCUUCUUAGGAUUCUGUGGGUGCCAGCACACACCUCCCCAUGGUCCCAGUAUGCUAACCUUAUCUGACUCCCCUGGUUCACAGAAGAAACUAAAAAGUGCUAUGAUUUUUAUAUAGAUGUCCUCCAAGAGCCUCAUGGGCUCGUUAAGAGUGGCUUUUAGAAGAUGAUUGCUUCUAGAUGACUUGCUGUUGGGAGGUGGGGUCUGUUUGGAAGAGGUGGGCCACUGGGAGAAUAAUCCAGAAGGUUUAUUUCCCUUCCUGCCUCCUCCUAUCUCUGCUUCCUGUUCUCUGUGCUGUGAGAAACUUUGCACUGCUAUAUCCCUGCACCACACCGUCCUCCUAGGAGCCAGCUGAUCAAGGACCAAAACCUCUAUGAGUUGUGAGACAAA